ACCAAUACCCCCGUCAUUUCCCUUCCAUUUCGUGAGAAAACCAAAACCCAAACCCACCUUCCUCCUUCUCCCUCAUACGUAUAACCCAAAGAACCCUCACCUUCCUCAUUCACACCAUUCCUUCUGAAAUUGGCCGAGUUCUUGCUCUUCUUCCCCAUUCAAUCCAUUAAUUUUCGAGUAAACCAAGUUCCAUGGAUGCCCUACUCUUCUUGUUGAUUGUUGGUGUAAACAAACUAAGGCUUGAAUCUCUCAAUUUCUAUGUGUAAUUUUAUUCUAUUCUUCUUUAAUAUUCUGAUUUUCUUCUCAAGCUUUGAACCCUAGCCAUCUUUGAUUGGAAUUUCAUGUAAUAUCAACAUCCUUGUAGGAUUUUAUUCCAUUGAAGUAGAAAUUAGCAAGAUAGCAAUCGAACCCUUUACUUUCCCAAGUUUCUGUCCAGCCGAAAUGGGGAAAAACAAGUGGAAUUUGGUCUUGCUUGUUUAAGCAUCGAAAAUUCAAGACAAACAUCAAUUUUUGAAGCCUGUUUUGUUGUGUUCCUUGCUGAUCAUUAAAACAGAAGGAUACGACUACAUCGAUGAGCCUUCUAGUCAACUGCAGAGAUUUGGUCUUGACUCUUGAAGCGACAUUGUCGAUUGAAACCGGACGGAAACGAUGGUGAAGCGGAGGUGAUUAGAGUAUAUGGUGAAGAUACUUUAGAUUUGAGUAUGUACACUAGUCGUAGUGUCUGUGUUGGGUUGUAGUCAAUGUGUAGUGGAUUUGAUUAUGUUAACCGUAUCGGACUUUAUGGUUAGUUGUAUAAAUAUGUUGGACUAUGGUUUAGAUGUUUUAAUUUAAAAUGGUCAUUACAGUUGUAUUUUAGACCUCGUGAUCCUUUUUACGAGUUAUGAAUCGAGAUUUGAGUUUUUUAGGUUAGUAAACCCCGUGAUGACUUGUAUUGCUUAGUUAACCACUAAGCCGGAAUGUUACAUUGUAGGACUUGUGUUUUUUGCGUUGGAGCCUUUCAAAAUCUCGGACUUUCAAUCUCUCAUGAACAGUAUGUGACAAUAUGUGGAAGCAAGUGCACCACAUACCUAUACAUUAAAAAAGAAUGGAAGGAAUUAAUUUUUUUUUCUAGAAUAUUGUGUACUAUUGAGAAACUAUAUUAUUGCUAUUGGUGUAUAUUAAUAUAUGAUACAAAAAUAAAUUUCACACUUAUUAUUAAAUUACAAUAUGUAUUAUUUAUAAAUCGAGCUCAGUUUCAAAUGUAUUAAUGCAUUUAGAUAUUACUCUCAACGUUAGAAGUAGCCAACCAAUCUACCAUCAAUCAUAUUCAUGGUUGUUGGUGUAGGCAAUAAGUCGUUUAACUAUAAAGGGUAAGCUCAUUUGUAAUACUUCACCAUUAUUGAUUAUGCCAACAAUUUAUUUUCCUCUUGGUCAAGAUCAAGGGCGGCAUAUACUCUUAGGGGUGUUUGGUAUGGGAAGAGAAAAUGUAAGGGAAAGGGAAUUAAUAAAGAGGGGUAAGG